rnacentral:pre_miRNA from 1 species
UGGCAGUGCAGUACUAGCUGGCUGUUUGGAUACCUUCUGUGUUACAGCAGCUGGUUGCACUCCAGA